rnacentral:lncRNA from 1 species
UGAUAUAAGAGGUUGUAGCAUUGCUUGUCUUAUCCAUCUCUUCUCAUGCCAUCCAUGGAACACCAUAGCUAGCUAACAGAAAUACAAGAGAGAGAAAAGCAAACUUGAAGAAGAUAAUUCAUAUCUAGAGUCUCGCCAAUUGGAAUGAGAGGAAUCAGAGAAACACGACCGCGUACACGCAAUGUGGCUAAUCGCGGCGAUGACACAGUCGAAACCAUAUGGCCAGCAACAGUAGGCUAUGUUGUUGCGUCCAACACGGACGACAAUAACGGCCUGUUAGGGGCAGCCGGCAAUGCGAGCACACAGCCGCGGCAACGGUCAAUAAAGCGCCGCUGAGACACUCCAUCCGAGGAGCCUGUUGUACAAGUUGCGCGUCCCUCACCGAAGGGAGUGAUUCUCCUGUACCAGCAGCUCCCACUAGUAGAAAACAGGGCUCUGGUUCGAAGCAUUAGUCCUGGUUUGCUUUUGAACCAAGCACGGAGAAAGAGGGGUUCUAACGGAAGAGAAUGAAGAAUAAGAGGAUGGUGACGGCUAUCCUUUGUUCCUUGAAUACAAUGGUACUACAAUGGGGGAAGAAGCUUAAGUAGAGGCAUCAGAUGAGCCCGUUGAUGAUCUUGGUCGGGCCAUUAAUUGCUGAUGCAAAAAGAAACUUCGCAGGUGAAGAGGAGAAGCUGAAGUUGUAGCGCUUGUUAGAGGAUCACAAGAAAUUGUUGUACCAAAUUGCGGAGAUGACAAGAAGAAGCCGGGUACCACAUUGGAAUUGCUGCAAUGGAAGGCAGAGAAUGAUGUAUCUGACAAGGAUUUUGAAAAGUUGUUGAUUCUUUGCCCAUUUACCACUCUAGGAAAAUUACCUUCCGUGUUAUUUAUUUUGAUGGCACCGGAAUGAUAUACUUCCUCGACAACAUAAGGACCUUCCCAUUUAGAGAGAAGCUUGCCUGCGAAGAAUCUUAAGUGAGAAUUGUAUAGCAGGACAUAAUCACCUACAUUGAACUCUCAUUUUUGUAUUCUUUUAUCGUGCCAUCUCUUAACCUUUUCCUUGAACAACUUGGUAUUCUCAU